AGAAAUUCUGCCAAAUUUUGCAGCUUUCCUUUUCUAAGUUCACUAGGAUAGGUGUUUUCUUGAUGUCUCCUGACCUUUUCUUGAUGGUUGGCCCAAACUCCUUCAAGAUACACUUUCAAACCACUCUCUCAACACAUUCUCCUUCAUCUUUACAUGCUUAUGCAUCAAACACCUCAUCUCCAUGGAGUCUCCUUCAACUUGUGUGAAGAGGGUUUCCAUCAUUUGCACAAACUCAUUUCCUUCAUAUAGGUCAUGUCUCAUCCUUUAGGUUAUGAUUCCACCAUGGUGUCAAGUUUGCAG
rnacentral:lncRNA from 1 species